GCAGCAGACCGGUCUGUCGCUGACCCUUUCGGGGGUGGGAGGAAAGUCCGGGCAACACAGAGCGCCAUCCUUCCUAACGGGAAGCUGUUCGCAAGGGCAGAGUAGCGUAACAGAAAAGAACCGCCGCGUCUUUGGGCGCGGUAAGGGUGAAAAGGUGAGGUAAGAGCUUACCGCUCCCGUCGGAAUACGGGGGGACAGUACGUCUGAUGGGUUGUAAGGUCAUGUAUACCGGCGCAGUAGGAUAGCUCGUCCGAUGCCGGGGGGUAGACCGCAGGAGCGCGUCGGCGACGGCGCGUCGAGAUAAAUGACAGACACUGGCGCUUCGGCGGCAGUACAGAACCCGGCUUACAGGUCGGCUGCAUUC
rnacentral:RNase_P_RNA from 1 species